rnacentral:lncRNA from 1 species
UAUACAUUGGAGCAUUAAAAUAAUAUGAGAAUGCACAGUAUCUUCUGGUUAUCAUAGGAACAUUUGAAUAAAAGUGAUCAAACGCUUAAACAUAACACAGAAUCAGUGUAAUAGAAAGAUAUUAUAAAUACAUUGCAAAAAUAUUUUUAACAAGAAGAGGAUAUUAGAAAUUAGAGUCACUGAAUACAAGGCAUCAGAAAUCACUUAAGAUGAACUAUUAAAUUGUGUGUGAUAGAAAAAGAGAAUAAAAAAAGAAAGAGAAUAAGAGAGAGGAGAUUGAGAUUUAAUCACUAUGAGUGUAAAAUUCCAGAAGAAAUAAUUAAGCAAGGAGAAAUAUUAAAUUUAAUUGGAAAUUAGGUCAAAUAAAAAUAUACAAUGGAAAACUUUGCCAUAUUUUAAAAGAAUGUAGGGAAGAGGGAAAACGGAAAUAAAAAAUAAAAUUAUAAACUAAAUCAAAAUCAUAAUUAAUCAUAUUUUUGCAGAGCUUUCCUGUGAAUCAAAACAAUCCUCAAUCUGUUCUGUAGCAAGACAGUUUAGUUUCUUGGAGAUCAUUGGCAAUCAUUUUGAUUACCAAAGUAAUUGUAGGGCAGUACUAAAAUCCAUUUCAUUCUUAAUUUGAUGAACAAAAGACACUAAUGCUCUUAAAAUGAGAAUAACAAUUAUUUGUAGCCAUUUCAAAGAUAAAUUUGCAGUAAAUCAAUCCAGCAGUCAUCCCUUUGAUUAUUUUUAAAGAAUAAGAGAAAUCUGAAUAAAAAAUAUAUAGAUUUAUCAGCUCAAAAACACAAAAUAAUUUUAGGCAUUUGGUGACACUAAAAUGCAGUUAGAUUUGCCCAACAUUUAAUAUUUCUGCUCUUCUUUUGGAGGUCUCGAUUUCUAGAAAAUUAAUAAGUAUCUGAAAAUCUCUGCUAACAGAGGUGCUACGUGGGCAAAUACAGAGCAGGAUGAUUCUCACAAUACUUACUUUCUAACUCAAAUUAAUUAAUUCUCUUCCAAUGAUUUAAAUAGGAGCAUAUUUUUGGGUAAGUCUUCUUCCGUGUUGAUCAUUUGAGAAAAUGAUGGCAGAAGUGAGUAUGAGCAGAAUGAGGUUUAAUUCUCUAACAUACUACUCUAUAUUUAAAAUGAUUAAAUUUGGAAUAUGAUAUCAUUAAGAGAAAGACAACAUUAACACCUGUAAGUUGUUCAGAUUGUGACAUGUUGUACAUUUGUGUAUAAUUCCAAAAUGUGGUUGCCACAAAAUAAUGUGUUCACCAAUAUCCAAGCUUUUUGAGCUGCCAGAAAAUAUCAAAACAAUUGGUGCUCUUUGGAAUGUGUAGUUAACUUCCUGCUAGGAGAGGAGUCACAGCUGCUACAGUAGCAGUGGGUUUCCAGAUGUCAAGGCUGUGAGGAUAGUGAGGUAAUUGCAGGAAGGAAGGGAUACAAUUUUGUUAUUACAGAUUACCCUCCCCAUUGAAAUCUCUGGAUACAGCAUUAGUAUCAGUGCUUUGGAUAUGCACAUUGUGAACUGGAGGUCUUCAUGUUGAAGUGUAGAGGUCUGUGCAUUUGCUUCAGUCGAAAAAGCUGAGCCAGGCUUAUUAAAAUUUGUGGGAAACAGAGUAAAUGCUCUCAAAGCUGUAUUAUUGGAUUUAUAAAGCAUCCAUAAGUGUUAAUAUGUUUUAUCAGCAAAAGUUGGUUUUAUAAGGACAAUAACCAAAUAACAAAGUUUAGCUAUAAAUGUUCCAGUACUAUAGCUCAUCCACUGAAUUAAGAGAAAACAAAAUGUUUAGAUACCGAUAAAUUAAUCAGCAAAUCUGCUUAAGUCCUUCUUUGUAUACUAGUGACUGAGUAGAGGAAACAGAUGAUGAUUUUUCCAGUAUUCAACCUAGAAGAAUUUCUUUCUCAACUUCCCAUGCUAUGUAGUCAGAAGAGUACAAAUUACUGAAAACUCUGUUUUUCAUUCAGAAGCUACAAUCAUGGUGCCAUAUUUCCAUAUGGGAAUUUUAAACACUACAGUAUUUUGACAUAUUUUAUUGUCAAAACCAAUACAUAUUUGUCCACACAAAUUAAAUUGAAAUUAAUUGAAGAAAUUCAGUUUGAUAAUUUCUGGUGUUUUUUUUUUUCUGUUGAGGGGUCUGUAUUACUUAUUGUACUGAAUGUACAUAUUAGCUUAAGUUUCUCUGUAAAUGAAUGAAAUAAUUGGUGCAUUAGUUUCACCUAAAACAGGCAGGGUUGAGGAUAUUCUGAGACUUAUGUGAAGUUGACAAUUCUGGAUUCAUUCUACCAGCCAUGAAGAGAGAGACUUCUCAUCUCACUCAUAACAGAUACACCAUCCUCUGCUGAAACUCUAAGCUUUUCAUAGUUUUUGAGGGCAGUUACAUAUCACUAUUGAAUCACACUGAGCUAUUCAUGGUCAACUAAUAGCCAAAAGUCCCAUGUGCCAUUCUUAUUUCAUGUCUCCCACAUUCUAUGGAAUUUUGAAGUUAAGGCUAGAACUUUAUGCCUGUCUUGCUAAACCUGACCUAUUAUAUCUGACUAAGGCACACUGGAUUGUACAAUUCCAGAGAGUGCCAUUCCUAUCAUUAACUCAUAAGUGUUCUUUCUGAAGUUACACAGCCUCUAUGGCCGCAGGUGGCCUUGUCUACCUUUGAAUUUUGCUUUUAAAUCAUGGAUAAUUUAUUCACUACAGCAGAUGUCCUCUAGUUUAAUUAAUAAUAUACCUUAAAUUUAAUAGAAUCC